AUUCGAGUGUAGUUAUCAUUAUCAAUCGGAACUAUAAAGUUAAAAGUCUUCAAAUUCUAAUAUGCGAAUAUGAUAAAGAUCAUUCUCAACUGCUGAAAUGAUUAAUAAUUAUAAUUGUAAUACGGUGUUUGGCUCGCUUCAAAUGUGCUUCAAAUUAUCUAUCUUCUAUCUUAACAUUCGAUUGUAAAAUUCUUAUGCAAUUGGAGAAUAUUUGAUUGAGGCAAAAGAAAAAUUGGGUCCUUGAAGUGAGAUGAGGUAAUCGGACCUCGAGAUAUUAUAGCUUUUUUAUUUUAUGGAAAGUACGAUGAUAAAUUUCUUUGAGCCAGGAGUAAAAGUGCUAGUUAAAUAAAUCGAGACCUGAUAAUUAUGAUGUGACCGGGUGAAUUGAAUUGGAUGAAAAAAAUUAUACCCACUUAUAUAAUAUCUUCCUCUUACGGUUGCAAAAUGAAAACAAAAUCAAUUACUAUCCUAUACGUAGAGUAUGCAUACCCAUGAUAUGUAUGUAUAUUAUUUAUAUCGUUAGUCAUAAUAUAUGGUCAUUCAUAUAAGUAUACGUAUAUGAUAGAAAGAAAUAUAAAUAUUGUAUAUAUUUAUGCCUAUGCAUAUAUAUAUUCAUGAACUCAUUUGUGUAUAACUAUUUCAUAUAAUAAUAUGGAAAAUCUCAUCGAAUAUACAAUAUAUUAUAUAUACACACACACACACGGUAUUCUACUAAUGUAUGAAACUUCAUCUUGAAAAUAUUUUUCAAUCAGUGGUGCUUUCGUUCGAUCAAUGUAUGAUCAUUAAACUGUAAUGAGGGUGAGAGACGAACAAUAAAUAAUCAUAUUCUAUGUAUGCACUAUCCGACUUUCCCUGUAUUAAAAAUAAUAGUGCAGUGUUAAAUUAUCAUAGCGAAAUUUUGCACGAAAAUAUCAAGAAUUUAUCCACUCGAGAAAGCUACCUUAAAAAAUUUACGCAGAUACGAAGUGUAAUAAAAGUAGCGCGUUUGUAGAUGAAGGCUCUAUUGUUAUAUAAUUUGUCAUCAAUAUAAAGGCUGUGGUUCUUGGUCAUCAUAAUAACCCUCAUGCUUUUGCUGUAAUUAGGAGCUGAGUCGUGCUAGCAGAAAAAGUUUGACAAUGACAUCUGAUAAGGCAACGAAGAGUGCUGUCGUUACAGCCUAUGUAAAGAAACUUGCUUGGGAAAAUCUCACGAAGGGCGCUAUUGUUAAUCAUCGCACAUCACAUGGAAUAACUCCUCUUCUUGCGGCGGUAGAACAUGGUGACAUUGACUUGAUCAUACUCAUCUGCACUCACAAUCAGCCUAAAAGCAUAGAUAUAUCUAUGCUAAAAGCCCUAUCAACCUGCAGGAAAAGACUAUACACAUAUCUGAAAUUCUCCAUCUUUUCCAUAACGUUAAAGUUGAUCAUUGGUUUUUCUUUUUUAUUAAUGACAAUAAUUGUCGUUUCAUAUAGGGUCAACCCCCUUGCAUUUGUGGGUUCUGUACGGCCACAGAGUAAUUAUGCUCGGGCUACUACGUCGAGGAGCAUUAGUAAAUUGUUCGGAUACCCUAGGCCGUUAUCCACUGCAUUUUGCAGCAACUCAAAAGGACGUCGGAAGUGCGAGAAUGCUAAUAAGAUUUGGUGAUCGCAUCAAUGUCUACGACGCUUUUUCCGACAGCCCUCUUUCUAUCAGCGUUUUACGUAGGCCUUGCGUAGCAAUGGCGAGGCUCUUUUUAGCUAACCGGUAUUACUCGCUGAAAUUUUAUAAAUACUUUACUGCAUGGGUUCUUUAUUUAUUUAUUCGAUUUUGAAUGAAACAGAGCGUCCUCUGGUCCGCCGCCCGAUUGGUCUUGGUAUGGGCCUUCUUCUAGAAGCGGUUCUGAGUGCGCGUCGCACUUCAAACUUCGAAGCUAUCAAGGUUCUAAUUUGGGCAGGAGAGGGUUGUAAAUAUCGUAGAUCCCAUGGGAUUGAAAACGCCUCUACAUUUAGUCGCGAUUAACGGACAUCUGGAAUUAGCUGAAAGGAGACCCCGCCAAGUGCCACCCACCGAUUUUGAUAAAACUUCGCAGGAUGAAAGAGUAACAAAAAUAAACGGAUACGUGUUUUGGCUUAUCCGUAGACGCUCAACCGUUUUCGAUUUCGAGAAAAUUACGGUUGAAACAUGGAAAAUUUUGACGCCGCUUCAUGAGUCCGCCCGCGCGCUAUCGCCUCAAGCGUGUCGGCGGUGCAGCGGCUAACGCGACAGCUUCGAGAUGUGACGCUCCGCGCUUGAGUCCUGAUCAAAAUUUUUUUUUUUUUUUUUCUCAAAUUCUUCGUCAAAGUAUGCUGCGCGAACGUUCCUUAUUUUAUUGAUAAAUACAAGGACGCUGUAUUUAAAUUACAAUUCAUCAUUUCGAAGCAACUGUCCGUUAUUCUGAAUUAUGCUACGGGGUAGGUUUUCAGGUAGGCUCGCUAGCCGUAGCCAACAGGCCAUUUUUUUUUAGAAAAUAAUACGAAAUAUUUUGGACUGGUAAAAAACUAUAUUCGACGUCUCCAAAACUGCCCCGUCCUGAUUGCUCAGCGGAGAGAAAUCACAAGCAGACGCGACGCAAUAAAAAUACACUCCCUGGUCCACAAUCAAUUGCGGGCACCAGCAUUUGAAAAAAUGAUUCGGUACGCAUGAUUCGCCGCAAAAUUAUCGGCGGAUCGCGAGGUUUUCAAUAACGUCAACGACAUUGCGUUUCCGGACGACGUUCACACCCAGAACUGUGAUUGCGGCCAAAGUGCCUUCGCGCGUUGCUCCUGGUGCAGAGAAUAUUUAUGUUUUGAAUGUUGCUAUGAUAGGUACCAUCCCGACGAAUGCGCUACAUAUCGUUGAAUUAAUCGGGAGAUAAUGUAAUAAUUAACAUAAAAAUUAAGCCACUCGCUGCUAUCCAUUUGUUAUUUCCAAAUAUUUUUGAACCCAAUACCCUGUAGCAUAAUUGUAAUGAUUGUAAUUUAAAUACAGCGUCCUUGUAUUUAUCAAUAAAAUAAGGAACGUUCGCGCAGCAUACUUUGACGAAGAAUUUGAGAAAAAAAAAAAAAAAAAUUUUGAUCAGGACUCAAGCGCGGAGCGUCACAUCUCGAAGCUGUCGCGUUAGCCGCUGCACCGCCGACACGCUUGAGGCGAUAGCGCGCGGGCGGACUCAUGAAGCGGCGUCAAAAUUUUCCAUGUUUCAACCGUAAUUUUCUCGAAAACGGUUGAGUGUCUACGGAUAAGCCAAAACACGUAUCCGUUUAUUUUUGUUACUCUUUCAUCGUGCGAAGUUUCAUCAAAAUUGGUGGGUGGCACUUGGCGGGGUCUCCUGUGAGUGAGAAUUUUGUCAGUGAGGCGUGUUUUGGUAUCGUUACAUUUUGUUACUAUUUUUUUUUCAUAGGUAUCUAAUUAGCCAUGGUGCCGAUUUGUACGCGAAAUAUCGCGCCGGGCAAACUCCUUUGGAAGUAGCAUUUAACUGCCGUAAUUUCAGUGUCGCGUAUCUGAUCGAAGAGAGUCGCAAUAUGCAAUCAAGAAGUCGUAUCAACCAAAUCCUCGAAUCUACCGAAGGGUCUGAUACGCCGAUGCGUAAUCGUCCAUAGCGAUGAACAUGAAGUGCAGCUGACCCAUAAUUGACCUCCCUCUGUGCAUCAUGAACUUGACCUGAUUCCUACGAAUGAAGAAAUCUGACAUGAAGGAAGUAGUUGCUGCACACCAACAAGGAUCAGGAGCUGACACCCUUCUAGAAACAGCUGACUGCACGAACCAUUUACGAAAAAGAAAUUAAGGGGAAAGCAAACAAUAAUAUAAUAAAUGUACAAAAUAAACACACAUAUAAUAAGAACUCCUAAAUUAAACCAAAAUCAUACCUGAAGAGAAAAUACAGUACAAUAAAUCUCCUCUUA